GACCUGAACCUAUGGUCUACAUCCUGAGAGGGAUGAUAUGGAACUAGAAGGUACAGGACAACCUUCACACAGAAGGGAUGAAUAGCUCACCAGAGUGACAUCGACUCUGAGGUGGUGACAGCAUUUCUGAAGAACUGUGCUUGUCAUAACGUGUUGGAAAGUGUCAGACUACACCAAGAAAAGGUUUGUCAUUUAGAUAAUUAAAGAAAAAUGUUUCUUGAAUCUAACAAUUAUAUCUCACUUUACAGAGUUUUGCACCUAAAGAUUAACAUUGAGGAUGAUGCAGGAGCCAUGGACGUCCUGGAUGAAAAUACAAUUAUUUUAUGUUCUCA